UCCGGGCGCGCGGAAUUCAGAACCGACGAGCAUACUUCGUCGAUUCGAUAUUUCCGCCGCCGACCCGUAGAAACGGGUGCGGACGUCGCGACCCGUUCGUCGUCGAUCUGACGAGUCGCGUUUCGAGUUCGAGGCGCGCGCGUUUCGUUCGCGUGCGCGCGCGUCGCGAUGGCGCGAUACUCGGAUCGGCGUGCGCGGACGGUAGCUGUGAACGCGCGGGUAAUCGACGCCGACGAUAUACGGUCGUAUUGCUGCGACGGUAUAUGUUCGAGCGUCGACGCCGGUCAGCGACGAAUUUUCGGGCCUCUUUCCGACCCGUCUUGAAACACGGACCAAGGAGUCUAACGUGCGCGCGAGUCGCGGGGUACUCGAGUCGUUAGUUUUUUUUCGUUUUUUUUUUUUUUUCUAAAGAAAAAAGUGGAAAAAGACGACGCGAUUCGUUACACGAACGAAACCCGUUAUACGUACGUUGUGCGAAGGCGUAAUGAAAGUGAGGCGACGCGUUUCGGCGCGUCGCCGGGGAAGACGGUGCUAUUUCCGUGUACACGUUCCUCGGUCGCACCGUGUAACCGAGGCCGGACACCCGCAUUCCCAGGGCGUCCCGUCCGUCCGUCGAUGGCGCGGACGUGCGUUCGCGUACGUCGGCCGUCGACGAACUGGGGCGCACCUAUAGCGUGCACGUUGGUACCCGAAAGAUGGUGAACUAUGCCCGGCCAGGAUGAAGUCAGGGGAAACCCUGAUGGAGGUCCGCAGCGAUUCUGACGUGCAAA
rnacentral:rRNA from 1 species